AUUGAACGCUGGCGGCAGGCCUAACACAUGCAAGUCGAACGGUAACAGGAAACAGCUUGCUGUUUCGCUGACGAGUGGCGGACGGGUGAGUAAUGUCUGGGAAACUGCCUGAUGGAGGGGGAUAACUACUGGAAACGGUAGCUAAUACCGCAUAACGUCGCAAGACCAAAGAGGGGGACCUUCGGGCCUCUUGCCAUCGGAUGUGCCCAGAUGGGAUUAGCUAGUAGGUGGGGUAACGGCUCACCUAGGCGACGAUCCCUAGCUGGUCUGAGAGGAUGACCAGCCACACUGGAACUGAGACACGGUCCAGACUCCUACGGGAGGCAGCAGUGGGGAAUAUUGCACAAUGGGCGCAAGCCUGAUGCAGCCAUGCCGCGUGUAUGAAGACGGCCUUCGGGUUGUAAAGUACUUUCAGCGGGGAGGAAGGGAGUAAAGUUAAUACCUUUGCUCACUGACGUUACCCGCAGAAGAAGCACCGGCUAACUCCGU
rnacentral:rRNA from 1 species